rnacentral:tRNA from 1 species
GGGCUGUUAGCUCAGACGGCUAGAGCGUUGCAUUCGCAUUGCAAAGGUCGGGGGUUCGACUCCCCCACAGUCCA